GGUCGAUGCCACUGCUGGUAAAGCUUUUAUUUCCUGAUGGUGUCUCCUUCUGGGUAGUCAUACCUUCUGUGAGGACAUGAAUUAUUAUUGAAAUGGUCAUAAUUAUAAAUUAAUUGUUUACAAAAAAGAAAUAAAAAAAAAAUGAAAUACUAAGGCUUUUCUACAUCAAGAAUAAAUGACCUUAGCUGUAUUUGACAAUUGUUUUGAUAAUAUUUGGUCUUCAACGCUUUUAAAUUUCGU
rnacentral:lncRNA from 1 species